AUCGGUGGCGCGAUAAUGCCUCGCUGGAUCGGGCUUUCCUCGCCGAGGGCGAACGGCGCAGCUGCGAACCGAGCCAAACCCGCGCACCGAACCGCUUGCGCAAUUCCGCCGGACGGCCGACAACGACGCCCGCGGACGACGACGACGACGCGACGACGACGUCCCGACGGCCGCGUCCCGCCGCGUCGCUUCGCGCUGCUCUCCCAUGUCAUGUCAACUGUCUGUCCGCCACGCGUUUGACACCUAUCGCGCGCGUCACGCGUCCCGCGACCCCGACGCAACGCGUCACGACGCGACUACGACGCUUUCUUCUCCGGUCCCGCACCACUUUCGCCACCGUAACCCGAGAGCCCCGUCCGCCCUCUUAUUCCUUCGACGACCUCCCUACUCGCUCAACCACCCGGCCACCCUCCCACCUCCCACCGCCCUCUAGGCCUCCUCCUCUUCCCCUGAUCCCUGCAUCACCCCCCCCCCCGCGCGUACAGCUUUUUCGCGGAUCCUACAGUACGAGUUCGGUCGACGACGCGUUUUCGCCACGAUUUUGACGCUCCCGCCGGUCAUCCCCGUGCGACGCGGCGCCUAUCGCACGAGCGGGAAAGAUGGAGGAUCAUCCAUGGUGCUACGAUCAAGACAACAGAGGUCAAAGAUUGGUGGAGAAGCCUUUCCGGCACGCAGAGUACUACUCGUAAGGAGAGGACUUCUUCGCUGCGCUCUGUUCCAACGCCAUUUUGUAAAAAAGAAUUAAAUUAAAAGCCAAAUAAUUAAACUAAAUAAUUAAAUAAAAUACUUACAUAAAAAAUUGUAACUAUUCCUCGAAAUACGUAUAAUAAAGAUCUUUAAUCAGA